UGGGGAAUAUUGGACAAUGGGCGAAAGCCUGAUCCAGCCAUGCCGCGUGAGUGAUGAAGGCCUUAGGGUUGUAAAACUCUUUCGCCGGGGAAGAUAAUGACGGUACCCGGAGAAGAAGCUCCGGCUAACUUCGUGCCAGCAGCCGCGGUAAUACGAAGGGAGCUAGCGUUGUUCGGAAUUACUGGGCGUAAAGCGCACGUAGGCGGGCUAUUAAGUCAGGGGUGAAAUCCCGAGGCUCAACCUCGGAACUGCCUUUGAUACUGAUAGUCUUGAGAUCGGGAGAGGUGAGUGGAAUUCCUAGUGUAGAGGUGAAAUUCGUAGAUAUUAGGAAGAACACCAGUGGCGAAGGCGGCUCACUGGCCCGAUACUGACGCUGAGGUGCGAAAGCGUGGGGAGCAAACAGGAUUAGAUACCCAUGUAGUCCCUGAGCGGGCUGGCAAGGCGCAU
rnacentral:rRNA from 1 species